UAUAAUUCAAAUGAUUAAUCAAAAUAAUCAAAUAGAUUGAUUAUUUUCAAAAAUUAUUUACUUGUUCCAUAAAAUGUAAAAAAAAAGAUUAAAAAAAUAGCUCUAAUUAAGACUUUUGUUGUACUCUUUUUGGACUAAAAAUACAUUAAAUGAAUAAAAAUGAUUAUUUUAAAAUAUUCCUAAAAUAAAUUUAGAUUUAAAUAAUAAAAAAACAAUUUAUAAUUUUUGAAUAAAA
rnacentral:lncRNA from 1 species